rnacentral:ncRNA from 2 species
UAAUAAAAACAGGGGAGCUUGUACUUACAGGCUGAGAGGAAGUUUUGAACUUCGACCCUUUACCUGAUGCGGAUAAUGCCGCCGUAGGAAGUCAUGAACGAGAGAUU